GAAGAAGUGGGUGAAGAUGCCGUCAAACUUCAAAGAAGAAGAGGAAUGGAGCUCUCACUCUUUAGCUUAGCUUCAAAACAUUAACCAGGUUGUGCGAUGGUUUUGGCACAAAGAUGACCUGCAGCCUGCGCUUAUGACCGACGCAGAAUCUCACUUUUGGCAAAUUUGAGGUUUCACACAGGGUGACCCAUGCUUUCUGAUGAGCUCGACUCCAAACCAGAG